rnacentral:rRNA from 1 species
GAUGAACGCUAGCGGCAGGCCUAAUACAUGCAAGUCGAACGGUCAGCAAUGACAGUGGCGCACGGGUGCGUAACGCGUAUGCAACCUACCCAUCAAAGGGGGAUAGCCCGGGGAAACCCGGAUUAAUACCGCAUAAGAUAGUAUUCUGGCAUCAGAGAGCUAUUAAACAUUUAUGGUUGAUGGAUGGGCAUGCGUUAGAUUAGCUAGUUGGUGUAGUAACGGUGCACCAAGGCAAUGAUCUAUAGGGGUUCUGAGAGGAAGAUCCCCCACACUGGUACUGAGAUACGGACCAGACUCCUACGGGAGGCAGCAGUAGGGAAUAUUGGGCAAUGCUCGCAAGAGUGACCCAGCCAUGCCGCGUGCAGGAAGAAGGCCUUCUGGGUUGUAAACUGCUUUUGGAAGGGAACAAAAUGGGCAUGCGUGCCAACUUGAGUGUACCUUCAGAAUAAGCACCGGCUAACUCCGUGCCAGCAGCCGCGGUAAUACGGAGGGUGCAAGCGUUGUCCGGAUUUAUUGGGUUUAAAGGGUGCGUAGGCGGCUUAUUAAGUCAGGGGUGAAAGACUAUUGCUUAACAAUGGCAGUGCCUUUGAUACUGAUAGGCUUGAGUACAGCUGAGGCAGAUGGAACGGGUGGUGUAGCGGUGAAAUGCAUAGAUACCAUCCAGAACACCGAUUGCGAAGGCAGUCUGCUAAACUGUAACUGACGCUGAGGCACGAAAGCGUGGGGAUCGAACA